rnacentral:tRNA from 1 species
GGACGUGUGCCCGAACUGCUUAAGGAUUACUUUGAUAGAGUAAACAACAGAGGUUAAAACCCUCUCACUUCCU